rnacentral:rRNA from 1 species
GGAUUAGAUACCCUGGUAGUCCACGCCGUAAACGAUGCACACUAGACGUCGGAGGUUCUGACACCGUCGGCGUUGCAGCAAAAGUACUAAGUGUGCCGCCUGGGGAGUACGGCCGCAAGGCUAAAACUCAAAGGAAUUGACGGGGGCUCACACAAGCGGUGGAGCAUGUGGCUUAAUUCGAAGCAACGCGAAGAACCUUACCCAGGUUUGACAUGCUUGGAUGCAAACGGGUAAUUCCGGGCGCUACCCUUCGGGGUGAAACAAGCACAGGUGUUGCAUGGCUGUCGUCAGCUCGUGUCG